rnacentral:rRNA from 1 species
UACGAAGGGGGCUAGCGUUGCUCGGAAUCACUGGGCGUAAAGCGCACGUAGGCGGUCUCUUAAGUCAGGGGUGAAAUCCUGGAGCUCAACUCCAGAACUGCCUUUGAUACUGGGAGACUUGGAGUCCGGGAGAGGUGAGUGGAAUUCCUAGUGUAGAGGUGAAAUUCGUAGAUAUUAGGAAGAACACCAGUGGCGAAGGCGGCUCACUGGCCCGGUACUGACGCUGAGGCGCGAAAGCGUGGGGAGCAAACAGG